GCGUGAGCAACCUACCUCUAUCAGGGGGAUAGCCUCUCGAAAGAGAGAUUAACACCGCAUAAUAUAUCUGAUUGGCAUCAGUUAGAUAUUAAAUAUUUAUAGGAUAGAGAUGGGCUCGCGUGACAUUAGCUAGUUGGUAGGGUAACGGCUUACCAAGGCGACGAUGUCUAGGGGCUCUGAGAGGAGAAUCCCCCACACUGGUACUGAGACACGGACCAGACUCCUACGGGAGGCAGCAGUAAGGAAUAUUGGUCAAUGGGCGGAAGCCUGAACCAGCCAUGCCGCGUGCAGGAUGACUGCCCUAUGGGUUGUAAACUGCUUUUGUCCAGGAAUAAACCUAGAUACGUGUAUCUAGCUGAAUGUACUGGAAGAAUAAGGAUCGGCUAACUCCGUGCCAGCAGCCGCGGUAAUACGGAGGAUCCGAGCGUUAUCCGGAUUUAUUGGGUUUAAAGGGUGCGUAGGCGGCCUAUUAAGUCAGGGGUGAAAUACGGUGGCUCAACCAUCGCAGUGCCUUUGAUACUGAUGGGCUUGAAUCCAUUUGAAGUGGGCGGAAUAAGACAAGUAGCGGUGAAAUGCAUAGAUAUGUCUUAGAACUCCGAUUGCGAAGGCAGCUCACUAAGCUGGUAUUGACGCUGAUGCACGAAAGCGUGGGGAUCGAACAGGAUUAGAUACCCUGGUAGUCCACGCCCUACNNGAUGAUAACUCGAUGUUGGCGAUAGACAGCCAG
rnacentral:rRNA from 1 species